AGGGGUGAGUAACACGUGAGCAAUCUGCCCUUCUCAUCGGAAUAACCAUUGGAAACGAUGGCUAAUGCCGAAUAUGACCUCGGAUCACAUGUUCUGAGGUGGAAAGCUCCGGCGGAGAAGGAUGAGCUCGCGGCCUAUCAGCUUGUUGGUGAGGUAAUGGCUCACCAAGGCAUUGACGGGUAGCCGGCCUGAGAGGGUGACCGGCCACACUGGGACUGAGACACGGCCCAGACUCCUACGGGAGGCAGCAGUGGGGAAUAUUGGACAAUGGGCGAAAGCCUGAUCCAGCAACGCCGCGUGAGGGAUGACGGCCUUCGGGUUGUAAACCUCUUUCAGCAGGGACGAAGCGAAAGUGACGGUACCUGCAGAAGAAGGACCGGCCAACUACGUGCCAGCAGCCGCGGUAAUACGUAGGGUCCGAGCGUUGUCCGGAAUUAUUGGGCGUAAAGGGCUCGUAGGCGGUUUGUCGCGUCGGGAGUGAAAACUCAGGGCUCAACCCUGAGCGUGCUUCCGAUACGGGCAGACUAGAGGUAUGCAGGGGAGAACGGAAUUCCUGGUGUAGCGGUGGAAUGCGCAGA
rnacentral:rRNA from 1 species